rnacentral:misc_RNA from 1 species
GUGAAUCAUCGAAUUUUUGAACGCAUAUUGCACUCCCUGGUAUUCCGGAGAGUAUGCCUGUUUGAGGGUCAGUUAAAUAAAAAUCGGGGAUUUUGCCACCUUUGUUGGUGACGCUUCGGAAUUGGGUCGUCUUUACCUUUUGGUUAAGUGACUUAAAAUUUUUUGUAUGAUCUCUGAACGUAUUUAAAUUUGUUUGGUACGUGUUGUACUAUCGAAUGUUUAUUAGGUGUGAUGAUCUUCAUGACUCAAGUCUAUAAUUUUU